AAAAUCCACAAAACAUGCAGAUAUAUCUCUAUAAUCAAAAUUUUAGAACGUCAAAAAUGGUUGUUUGUAACCAAAAAACGCAUUGGUUCUUGGUCAUUUCCUUCUUGUUCUGCUUCUUCUUGAUCACCUGUCAAGCAAGGAAUUUACGAGUAGAUCCUUAUGAAGUUCAAAAGAGUGACCAAGAAAUUCUUGUAAAGAAUGAAGAGCAAUCAAACUGUAAAGACUCGGUAGCAAUAGACGUAGAUUACACUCCGGCCCGAAAGAAACCUCCUAUUCAUAAUUAGCUAGGAUGGAAAAAGUUUACAAACUUAAAUUUUAAUAUCCCGAGACGAAUCCAAAAUUUGAAGUUUGUGGAUUCUGUUUUUAUAUGUGUUAUUUUCUCUUGCGCAUAUAUAGUCCGGGCCAGACGCAGUGAACUUUUGUCAAGGUUUUUGAGAAUUUUUUUGGGAGUAAGAUGAAUAUCGAUGAGAUUAUGUACAUAUAUAUACAUCUUUUGAUGGAUUAUUUACGGGCUUUUACAUUCAUAUGACUUUAUGAAGUUUUUAUGGAGAUAUACGAAGCUUCAACUAAUAAUAUUGAGAGAUGUUUAUUUGUUACUAUUUGAUAUUUUCGCUAAUUCAGAAUUAUUAAAUACUCCUCUGAA